GCAAGGAAAUCUGUAAACCCCACCAGCGAUUCGCUAGGAAAUGACCGUCGGAGCUUCGAAGAAGAGGCAGCGCGUUCAACACUCUGCCUCCACCAGCCGCAACUCCUCCGUCACCGCUGCCUCCGACUGCUUCCCCUUACCGGAUAAGUCCUCAACCGAAGUCUCCAAAAAGCCCCAUACUCUCCGCCGUUCUUCAUCCUUCUCUU
rnacentral:misc_RNA from 1 species